rnacentral:rRNA from 1 species
UACGUAGGUGGCAAGCGUUAUCCGGAAUUAUUGGGCGUAAAGGGAGCGUAGGCGGUUUAUUAAGUCUAUGGUGAAAGUUCGGGGCUCAACCCCGUGAUGCCAUAGAAACUGGUAGACUUGAGUACAAGAGAGGUUAGUGGAAUUCCAUGUGUAGCGGUAAAAUGCGUAGAUAUUCGGAGGAACACCAGUGGCGAAGGCGGCUCACUGGCUCGAUACUGACGCUGAGGUGCGAAAGCGUGGGGAGCAAACAGG